UCGUGAUUUUUUAAAUUACCUAUAUGAUUGUAAAUUUAUUAGUUACUGUCUUUCUAAGCAAGACAAAAUUUAGAUUUUGUCAAUAUCGGUUUAUCAGUGAUGUGAUAUGAUCGCUAGGGAUCACGUGAGAAAACCACACACGAAAAAUGUUCGCAUAAGAUACGGCAAAAUGUAAAGGUAAUGUCGCUGUUGUGGACCUGAAGCAUUGAAGAUGCUAGGGAUCACCAGAACUCCAGAUCCAGUGAGAAAACCGCACACGAAAAAUUUUCGCAUAAGAGACAAGUAAGGUUGUCUGAACCUAAUUAUUCUUCUAUUAAUGUAAAACUAUUAUCUGUAUUUUUUUAUUUUUACCAGUUUGAAUUUGGUUGAUUUCUAUUUUGCGAUAAGCAUGUUUCCUUGUAUCGAAGAAAAGCAACAAAAGUAAAAUGAAAGUAAUGUAUCAAUGCAAAUUGCUAUACCUAACUGUAUUUCUACACAAUAGAAUAAUCUGUGGAUGAACGAAAAUACUCUUCUACUAUCAUACUAAAAUACUAUCAAUGUAAAACUAUUUACUGUAUUUUGUUGUUGUGACAAAUAUUAAAAUUUGUAAUUGCUUAUAGAAUUUUUGUUAAGAGCAUAUUGCGAAACACUUUAAUUGAUCGAGAACAAAAUGAAAGGGCAAAAUCCACAGAGCGGGAACAUGUAAG